rnacentral:tRNA from 1 species
UGUGGCGUGAUGUAGUGGUUUGAGCAUUGGACUAGGAUUCUGGAGACCUGGGUUCAAAUCCCUGCUCAACCA